AUUUUUUUCCACAAGAAGAAUGAAAAAAGAAUCUUCCUCUUAGGUUAGCAAGCAUGAAAAGAGGAGGACUGUUUCUACACUGAAGCUUGUCAUUAUACCAGCAGUAUCUAAGCUAUACCAGAGAGGCGCUGAAGUUAUACUAGAAAGGACCUAAUGAAAUGUUGAUCCUGAUUCCUCAGGGGAAUAGGUGCAAUACUAAGGAAUGAAAAUGACAUCUGCAUUGAUCCUGACUCUCUAGGAAGCAUCGAUUCAGAGAACAGGUCCAUCUUUUUCAAGAUCCCUACUUCAUACAUAGGAAGAUUAGUACACUUAGCACGUUAAUGUUCCAGGACUUUCAAACUACUAGCAAAAAAACUUUUAACCUUCUCUGCCAGCAGCUGUACCAAAGGGGAGAGGAUGUAGGAAGGAAAAAAUAUUCUCCAGAGUUUGAAUCACUUCAGAUUAAUUGUUAUUAGGUUUUUUUUGGCCAUCCUCAGAGGUUUUAUUCAGUCCCUGAGGAAAAAAAAACCUCAACCAUCUCCUCCCCAAACAACCAUUAUUCUGGUCUAUGAAUAAUGUAAUGCAAUUUUAAAAAAAAUACCCCAAAGACAAACCACAACACCUAUCUUCUUUAUAUCUUCUGGACAUGAGCUGCAUUUGGGAAUAUACUUUGUGCUGGAAUUAAAGUUGUCAUCUUUGAACUGUUUGCAGAUCUUUCAGCAUUGAUGGAUUGCUAUGUGUUUGCAUAUAAUGCAUAUGAGAUUACCAGAUAAUGCAAAGCAUUUCCAAUUCUAGGCUGAUGUCCCCACACCCAUCCUUCACCUUUCUUGUCUCUCCUUCUAUGGAGAGUAAAAAUGAACAGAGUGUACAUAAAAGUAGAAAAAAAAACCCCUCAGAUUUCCAGGUGAUUAUUUGAAUGGAAGGGAAUAUUAACUUCUAAAUCUCACUUUUAAAAUUAGAUUAUGACAUGCUAAAGCAAAUUCAUUUGGUAGGUCUUAGUACCUGCCCUGCUUUGAAGAUGGCAGGGUUUGUAGUAGUGGUCAUGCUUUUGUGGGGAAAAAAAGAUGGCCAAAACGACCUUGUUUUUUUACAAACCAGGCAGAGUAUAUCUUAAUAAAUACAGACAAUCUAAGCUACUGGUUUCCUAUUUUCUUUUAGACAUGAGUUUCUGAUCUGUCAGUUGUUUGUGACACUCAGCAGCACCCCAGUGCCAAGAAUAGCACCAAUGUUUGUUUCUCAGCAAUGUUUCUCUUGUUUUAUUGCUCCACCAUAAUUUGCUUCCAUAUGACAAGAAACACUUUUAGGUCAGAUUCAAAGCUGAGUCAGAGUGAUCUUGUGCAAAUUUGUAUCUGAUUUUUAAAUCAACAUCUUAGGAAGUCCUGUUCAGAAAACUGUUUUGAUGGACAGCAUUCCGUGAUAAGACAGAUGGAAGCACAUGCAUCAGAAGAUGAAAAGUAAAGAACUAACUGCUCCUAACAUCUUUCUUCUGAAUGAUCUUUUGCCCUCCACGUUAGACUUUCUGCACAUAAACUGCCUGCAAUUAUAGCAAGGUUAUCUGGCAAUUUUGGUUCUCAUAACAUAGUGAUUUGUUACCACAUUACCAACUUACAUCAAUCCCAAUGUGCAUGUUUCAAGCCCUCGAGUGUGUUGGACAUGUUUCUGACGUGGUGUAACACAGCUGCCCUCAGUAGCUGUGACCAUCAGAACCUUUCCUUUGAAGAGCAUUUCAGUAUCAGCAGUGCUGAAAAUCGCUCAGCCUUGGCAGAGUGUGAGUGUUGUACUAACUGCGUAAACAGGCAGAGCACAGGCUCAAACCAUUCUGAACAGAGGCAAGGGCUCAAUGUUGGAGCUUGGAGCAUAUCAGGAGUGAGGCACUUGAGAGAGGGUGGGCAAACAAACCUUCUGCUUGUGUUUGGUUUCCACCAGCUAUUGGUCACAUGGGUUAUCCAACUAGAAAAUAUUUUCUCUGCUGAAUCAUGACUCCUGUCACGAUUUGUUAUCUUUUUUUUGUUAACUUUAAUUGUUAUCCAAAUCUGGAAAACAAAUUCCACACUAAGAGCUAGAAAUAAAUUUAUAUUCCUUGUAUUAGAGGAAUACUUUCAUCUAUAUUACAACACUCACCUUUCAGCCAAACCAGGUUGCCACAUAAAGGAAGGAGGUCAAGAGCUUCUCAUUUUUUGGCUACUUUUUUUCCUAUUCUUUUUGCUUUCUUUUGCCCUGUUGCCUCAU